GAGCUGUGAUGAGACUCUACUCUUCCUGAAGUGCUUGUGAAACACACAUGCGCUCUAUGAAGGUGCCUACACUUGAACUGAGCUCA
ensembl:snoRNA